UACGUAGGGGGCGAGCGUUGUCCGGAUUUAUUGGGCGUAAAGGGCGCGUAGGCGGCCCCCGCAAGUCGACUGUGAAAUCUCCGGGCUUAACCCGGAAAGGUCAGCCGAUACUGCGGGGCUAGAGUGCAGAAGGGGCAACUGGAAUUCUCGGUGUAGCGGUGAAAUGCGUAGAUAUCGAGAGGAACACCUGCGGCGAAGGCGGGUUGCUGGGCUGACACUGACGCUGAACUGCGAAAGCUAGGGGAGCGAACGGG
rnacentral:rRNA from 1 species